UACAUAGGGGGCAAGCGUUGUCCGGAUUCAUUGGGCGUAAAGAGCGUGUAGGCGGCCAGGUAGGUCGGUUGUGAAAACUGGAGGCUCAACCUUCAGAGGUCGACCGAAACCAUCUGGCUAGAGUCCGGGAGAGGAGAGUGGAAUUCCUGGUGUAGCGGUGAGAUGCGCAGAUAUCAGGAAGAACACCCGUGGCGAAGGCGGCUCUCUGGGACGGUACUGACGCUGAGACGCGAAAGCGUGGGGAGCGAACAGG
rnacentral:rRNA from 1 species